rnacentral:tRNA from 1 species
UUCGCGAAGUUGCCGCAACAGGCAUCGGCAGCACUCACAAGACGAACGCGUUUAUUGCCACGUGUUACGAAGAAGCUGUGGCCAUUCGCGAAGUUUUGGGCGAUGGCAAAGAGCGGUUGAACUAGGAUGCCGAACACUGACAACGUGACUCGCGCGUUCAACGACUUGGUCGCAAAGUCGAGCCGACGCCGGGCCGCGAAGACGAACGAACGCGCCGCCGCCUGACAAUCUGCCCGGCACGAACAAGGCCCCGGCGCUCCGGCUCCGGGGCCUUCGUAGUUCGGGGUAGCCGCCGAGGUAGGUGGUCGGCUCUGACGGGGGUAGCUGCCGUUACUGUGCAUCCGGACCACGGACGCGCCCGCCGGGAGCCUUGGCGACAUCGGAGCGACUAUUCAUGGAAGGCUCUAGAAUCGCCGGAAGGAAGGCCCUUCCCAAUCGGUCGCGGAGCGGGUAUCAGGUCGCCCGCGGCGCGGAUUUCGUCCGAACUACCCUAAGCCUACCCCGGACGAAAAACGGCCCCACUCAGUUUGUAUAUUAGCCGCUAAGUAUUUGAGAAGAUUGGCAAAGCCGGCGUAGCUCAGUGGUAGAGCAUCCGCUUCGUAAGCGGGUGGUCGGGGGUUCAAAUCCCUCCGCCGGCACCAUGUUUCAUUAGCUUUUCUAAGUGUCCGCUGUUCUCCCCACACAGAUUUCCCACACAGUCAGAGCAAAACCGGGACGGUUUUCGUUCACAACUAUUUGCGUGGGGGUAUGGCUCUAGACCUGGCGUGGCUGCCGCAGCGCCACGGCGACUGGCAAAGCAAAGCAACGCGGGUGAGCCACUCAGACGUUAUCGGUCAGGUCAAAGUGUUCGAUAUGUUUUGGCAGUGCUUGUGACAUGUCGGCGCCGCAUCGGCGCUGGUCUUCUCGAGCUUCUGAAGCCAACCAUCGCAGAAGUACUCGGCCAUGCCGAAACGCGCGUGGUCUCGAAGCACUACCGUCACCUUGCGCCCUCGUUCGUGGCCGACACAGUGCGACAGACCGCGCCGAAUUUCGCGAUCGCGAUCUGACCGGCUGAAAGUUCAAGCCCUACAGUCGCCCACGCUAAUUACUGGGUUUUCUGAGUACCGUCGAAAUCCGCCGCAAUAGCUUCCACGGGUUUCUUCGGGUCUCCGCGGGACCGGCACACCGGGAGUUUGUCCCGACGGAUCUUUCAACACUGGCCUUUACCUAUAUGCUGCAGCGAAAAUUCGGCGAGACAAUAGACCCUGCCCUCUCAACACUGAGAGCCGCAUGCUUUGAGAUCUGCGGGCCAGGCUCACCCUGGCCAUCAAGUCUAGCGGCUGGUUGAGCAAGAGAAAACAAAACGUAGGAUAG